rnacentral:other from 1 species
UCAAUCCUGCAGUGGCAUUGCGGAUAAAAUUAUUGGAACCAACACCACUAAUUUGGGAACUGUACUCCGAGUGAGUAAAGCAUGCCUCCUUGUUGAGGAAACUUGAUACACUUGGGAGGUGCCCACCGUUACGAUGCGGUUCCCCUAAUUCCGCUUUUGUUCAUUGCAGGAUGAA